UCUCGCAUCUUCUUAUCCACCGGGGCUACCCCCACCUUCUCUCGAAUAACUUCAUUCUUAAUCUUAUCUAACUUGGUGAGCCCGCACAUCCACCUGAGCAUCCUCAUCUCCGCAAAUUUCAUCCUCUGAACAUGAGAGUUCUUCACUGGCCAGCACUCCGCCCCAUACAGCAUGGCCGGUCUAACCACAGCUCUAUAAAAUUUUCCCUUGAGUUUCUGUGGAAUUUUCUUGUCACACAAGACUCCUGAUGCAAGCCUCCACUUUGACCACCCCGCUCCUAUACGAUGAGUGACGUCCCCGUCAAUCUCUUCN
rnacentral:lncRNA from 1 species